rnacentral:rRNA from 1 species
GACGAACGCUGGCGGCAUGCCUAAUACAUGCAAGUCGAGCGAACAGAUGAAGUGCUUGCACUUCUGACGUUAGCGGCGAACGGGUGAGUAACACGUAAGGAAUCUACCUAUAAGCGGGGGAUAACAUUCGGAAACGGGUGCUAAUACCGCAUAAUAUCUUCUUCCGCAUGGAAGAAGAUUGAAAGACGGCUCUGCUGUCACUUAUAGAUGACCUUGCGGUGCAUUAGUUAGUUGGUGGGGUAACGGCCUACCAAGACGAUGAUGCAUAGCCGACCUGAGAGGGUGAUGGGGGACAUUGGGCCUGAGACACGGCCCAAACUCCUACGGGAGGCAGCAGUAGGGAAUCUUCCGCAAGGGGCGAAAGCCUGACGGAGCAAUGCCGCGUGAGUGAAGAAGGCCUUCGGGUCGUAAAACUCUGUUAUAAGAGAAGAACAAAUUGUAGAGUAACUGCUACAGUCUUGACGGUAUCUUAUCAGAAAGCCACGGCUAACUACGUGCCAGCCGCCGCGGUAA